rnacentral:misc_RNA from 1 species
GAUGAAGAACGCAGCGAAAUGCGAUACUUGGUGUGAAUUGCAGAAUCCCGUGAACCAUCGAGUCUUUGAACGCAAGUUGCGCCCGAAGCCAUUAGGCCGAGGGCACGCCUGCCUGGGCGUCACACGUCGUUGCCCCCCCCAUCUACUCCUUCGGGAUUGCGGGGGGCGGAUGAUGGCCUCCCGUGCGCCUCGCCGCGCGGUUGGCAUAAAUGCCAAGUCCUCGGCGACGCACGCCACGACAAUCGGUGGUUGCGAAACCUCGGUUGCCCGUCGUGUGCGGUCGUCGCGCAUCGAGGGCUCGAAAAAAUUGCCGGGUUCCGGCUCGGCUUUCAACGCGACCCCAGGUAAGGCGGGGUUACCCGCUGAAUUUAAGCAUAUCAAUAAGCGGAGGA